rfam:Puccinia graminis f. sp. tritici CRL 75-36-700-3 supercont2.17 genomic scaffold, whole genome shotgun sequence.
GUCUCCAUAGCUCAGUGGUUUAGAGCGGCUGCCUGCAGUCAGCACAGCAGCAGGUCAUGUGUUCAAAUCACAUUGGGGACU